rnacentral:rRNA from 1 species
UACGGAGGAUGCGAGCGUUAUCCGGAUUUAUUGGGUUUAAAGGGUGCGUAGGCGGACUGGUAAGUCAGCGGUGAAAUGUCCCGGCUCAACCGGGUCACUGCCGUUGAUACUGCCGGACUGGAGUACAAACGGCGCAGGCGGAAUGUGUCAUGUAGCGGUGAAAUGCAUAGAUAUGACACAGAACACCGAUCGCGAAGGCAGCUUGCGAGCAUGGUACUGACGCUGAGGCACGAAGGCGUGGGGAUCGAAC